GUAUACUAUUGGACAUUCAAAAAUCUUAAUUUUCCAGCCAAGGGGAGACAUUGCAAAUGUUGCCUCAUGUUGGGUCUCUACUGAUGCUGUGUUUUCCUUCCCAUGUUCACAUUGGAUAGCUCUGGAUGGAGCCCACCACGUCCACCACAUGGAGCCCUUGACAGUCUUCAGUCUCUGCUGUUCUGGUAAAGAAAGGCCCGUUAGUCCUGCGUUUAACGCCUGCAGGUGUGCCAGGUGUAGAGGCGAUGGAAGAAGCAGGCGCCCGCCGGGUAGGCUGCCCUCGCAACGUGGGCACGAGGGCUCCUCCAGCAACACCACGCGAGCGAAUCACGGUCCUUCUCUGCAUCAGACUGAUUUUUUGCACUGA
rnacentral:lncRNA from 1 species